CCAGUACCUGAGAAUGAGACCAGCGUCAGGUUGAGAUCGAGUAAAGAGGGGCUGAACCCUGCUUCCAUCUUCCUUAGCUACUGGAAAUGAGUCAGAUAUGGUUGUCAGAGCAAUGUCAGAUGAGAUGAUCAAAUCGCAGGCAAGGUUAACUGAAGGUUAUGCAAAUGUCGGGGUGCUGUUCAGACGACUGGGUCUCCCAGGCUGAUCAGUUGGAGGAAUGACUUUCUCUUACGGGCUUUUGGCGGCAGAACUUGUUAUAUUGUGACGUUAAAAAUGAUGUGACCUUUUUGCCACUUCCGCAGCGGGGAUCUUUAGCCAAUGAGAAAUGCAUCUAAUAAUCGUUUAGUUGAAAAGAGAAGCAUGGACAAAAAGAAAUCGUCCCUGUGGAAGUGUUUUAAAAGGACACAAUCUAAUCAAAAGGGAGCCACCGGGCUGGAGGAUCCCAGAUUGAAGAAAGGAUAUCUUCAUUUAAGCCGGUGCAGAGACAGAAUACGUUUUCCGCUGACAGCUCUCUCUCCUUGUGAAAUAGCUCUCGGACAAAUUAGCCGAGCAGUUUCUUCUAAAGUCGACCGGUGAGAAAAAGAAGAAAAAAAGUACAUGUCGCUAAGGGCGGCCGCUUCCAGACAGCCACAGACUCAGGAGAGUUAGAACAGAUCCAAAUUAACUUCAUUUAGUCCCAACGAGAGUGUCCUCGAAGCGGCUUCAAGUGGGCCGUGGGUUUCCCUCCAGCGCGUCCUCUUCGGCUCCGACUGGACUGAACAACGGCUCAGUCCGGCACUUGUGAAACUCACUCAAGAGAACAAGUGGGGAGCAUAUGUUCGGCUACGAGCCUUUCACGUUUACUCCUGAGUGAAGUCUUCAAGGUGACAUUCAGUGAAUCCAUACCAUGAUUUAGUGUCAGCCUUGUUUUCAAUUCCUUCUCCUUUUUGUUACAUUUCUCUCCCCCUGCUCGGCAGCUUAGUCCCCCCCCCCCCCUCUGUGCGGUUCAAUGCGAUUCAUCCGUUGGGAUUCUAUUCAUGAAUUUGUGGUAAGAUUUUUUUUAUUUCUUUUUCCCAUCCCCUUCAUUUUCUUAAGGCUUAGGCUGAAGAAACCCAAACCCAAACAUGGAAAUGACAGUCAAGAAAAAAAAAAAAAUCAAAUCAAAUAUUGAACAUCUAUUGGGAGUUCUUUGUUCUUCAGAGAUCCUCCGCUAUUCACUUUGAGAAUAUUCUGCUUCUAGAAAGCAUCAUGGUGCUGGUAAGAGGCUGGGGUAGGAGCGAUUCUCACGUCCAAGCGGCCCCCGUCUCUGCAGGCUAUAUUUAAUUGGAUUCACAUUCUGUAUCUUCCAGGUCCGUCGUCCUUUUGAUCACGAAGCUGGUCUUAAUAACGCGCAUGCUUGAAAGCCUGGAGGGAGGCUUGUUCAAUGCACUUGUGCUUUUCUUCAAUCCAUCCGUUGACAGGGAGACGUAAAGAUACUCUCCUGCUCCGCUGCUGACAUGCAAAGCCACAACCGACAGCUGUUCCUCCCGACAGGCCUUCCGCGCUCCUCGGCCACGAGAUGCAACCGCCGCCACACAAAAACCAAAUACCAUGACAACGGAUGGAGCGAAAGACGGACUGCCGCGAUAGCUGACGCAAUCACAAACCAAGAGACUGAGGGACGCACGGGGCUGUUGACAUACCUGAUGAGGACACUCAACGGAGGCUUGAACAAGAGCGGGCAGCUGCGGUCAACAAUGGAGACGCCACAGACCCCAGCCUAAAGAUCUGUACUUUGUGACAUGCCAAGAACUGUUGCAUGUUGUGUGUGUGUGUGUGUGUGUACAUGCACAAGAGACUGUGUGAAUAUGGAGUUAGAAGUGGUUCAAGUCAUCGACACAGGGAGGGUUUGUUAAAACCAGUCAUUAAUGUCAUUAAUGCUGUGUUCUUGACCCAUUCUUUCUCCAGUGAUUUUGUCAGUUAAAUAAAUCUAUUGGAAUUUAAUCAUUGCUAAA